rnacentral:rRNA from 1 species
UACGGGGGGGGCAAGCGUUGUUCGGAAUUACUGGGCGUAAAGGGCUCGUAGGCGGCCAACUAAGUCAGACGUGAAAUCCCUCGGCUUAACCGGGGAACUGCGUCUGAUACUGGAUGGCUUGAGUUUGGGAGAGGGAUGCGGAAUUCCUGGUGUAGCGGUGAAAUGCGCAGAUAUCAGGAGGAACACCUAUGGCGAAGGCAGCUCGCUGGACGUUACUGACGCUGGAGACGCGAAGCGUGGGAGCGAACAGG